UGAAUAAACGGUUCUUCUCAGAUCUCAACCCUGCUGCGUUUCCGACCGGAAAUUAGAUCAUCGGCUCCACGGUUCUCCAGGUUGCUGACCGCAAAUCUCGGAAUUGGCUCACAGGAGUAUGGAGACCGAGAAGUCCCAAAAUCUGUGUCCGCGUUAAACUGGACAACGCGAGAGCAGAUGGCGUGACUUCCGGUCGAGAACCCAGCGGCUUGAGAUCCGAGAAGAGCGCGUUUCAGUUACACUCUGAAGGCAGGAAACAACCUUUUGGAAUGAGGUGUGCAACAUAAGCUUUAUGAAGAAAAUUUUUCCAGCUUUGUUGAGCACAGAUUGUCAGCCUAUUCCCCUGGACCAAUCAAUCUUGAAUGGAGAUAAGAAAUCUGUAUUAAAUCCUCAGGCAUUGCUACAUGUAUUGGUACUGAAUCAACACUUCAUCUAUGAAGAGAACGAUACCUGUGGUCCUUAUUAAUCAUCCUUUCAAUAAAAAUCUGAAGAUGAAGUGCAUCCUGCAUGACUGAGAAAGGACCCUGUGAGUUGCCUGCGCUUUGUCUUUCAUGAUUGUGCUGCGCUUUACCUUCACUAAAGCUUUAUGUUAAGGUAAAAUAGUCCUUCUGGCUAUCAAAGAAGACUAUACCAACAAAGAUAUUAGCUCCGAGUACUGGAUUACAUAGGAGCUGUAUACACACAGAAGAAGAUGCUGAGAUAACCUCUACGAAUUAGACAGAGACCAUCGAAACCUCUUCUUGAGAUGCAGCUCUUUCCUUACUACAGUUCACGGAACUGUCCUGAACCAUUCCUGAUUUAACAAGCAAGAAAGAAAAACAAAUAGGAUAAGGCUUUUCUUGCUCCUUUUCUCUUGAUUGGCUCAAAGCCUCCUAACAAUUGUUGGUCACCUGUAUAAUCUAAAAUCGCCAGAUACCUCAAUACUUCUUUAAAAUUACUUUUUACUGUAGUAUUACCCUUAAGGUGAAUGCCCUUAAGCCUUGGUGUAGCAAAGGUAAUGCUCUGUUCAAUCCUUUGAACACACAUUGGCGAUGUAAGGAGUCCAGGUCAUUUAGGAAGACACUACCUCAAUUGAUUUAUGCCUGUAACAGAAUACGCUAAUUCAACUAUUUGUUAGCAUUUUAAAUUUCACUACUUUUAUGUAGCAGAAAGAUUUUAUCUUUCUUAGAAUGGAUAGCUUUUCAUUUUGAUUGAUGUUUGUUUAAAUAUGAUUUUUUUGAACAUUAGAAUCAUUCAGAGCUGCUAGAUUAUUUUUAAAUAGAUGUUCAUUGGGGAAGAGCAACAGCAAUCAGAGUUUAGCAAAAGUAAUAAGAAACUAUUUUUUUUAAAGAUAAUAACUACCAUGGCCCAUUUUCUUUUUCUUAAAAUAAUGUUAUGUGAAAUUUAUUUUCUGUUCCUUACUGAAGUAUUUUGUUUUGCUUUUCUGUUGUUAAAGAGUGAAUUUUUUUCAACUUUUCUGUCACAAAUUCAUUAUCUGGUAAGUAAAAAUUAUACUUCUCACAUUGUUUUUUUUUUAAUCUGCCAGGAGACCCAAGUCAAUAUUAAUUUAAAUUAUAAAUUAUAAGAAUUUCUUAUACAGGUGACAAAAUUUUUUUUGAAAAUGCUCCUUUUUUUGUUACAUCUCACAGAAAUGGGGACAUAUAUCUGGGCCUAAUGACCAUUAAUGUGGAAGACCCUCUUUCUUGUAAUUAAUUUUCUUCUUAUCUAUAAACACUUCUUCCGUAAUUGUUCGAUAGUUCAUGGUAUGAUUUUUUUUCAUUAUUCUAGCUUUACAGUAAGCCAGUUAAUUCAAAGUAUGCAGAGUACUUCUCCUUCUAGCCUUUAAAA
rnacentral:lncRNA from 1 species